GCUUGAAAGAAAUAGCAGUUGUUUAAAAAUGGGCCCCUUCCUAAAGACUUAGGAGGAGUCACUGUAAAAAAAUUAGAAACAUACCUGAAUCGAUGAGAAAUUUUUAUUUUGCCAUCAGUGUUUCCAGUGGAUAUUAUCAACAAUUUACAUCAAAAACUGCAAUUGUAAAGGUUCCAAGUACAGACGCCAGCCACGCAAGGCUCUCAGUUUUGCUCCUCUUGAAGGCCCGAAAUUUAAAACUUCUUUCAAAAGAAAAUGUUAUACCAUUGUUCUGUCUCUGCAGGCUGACUAGCACUGGCCAUAACUGGUGAACUCUUGCUAAUAGGUAAGACGGGUAAAGUAAUCUAUUAACUACAAGCUACAAUUGAAUUAUAAAAAGGACAACACAGUUUCCAUCUUUAGAUGUUUAUUCAUCAUCAAAAUCUUUACAAAACAUUAUCUGACAAUAAUAUACUCAAAUAAGAGCCAUAUUUUUGCGCUUGGACCAGGUCUCCACAAAAAUGCUUUAGGUCUGAUUACAGUAAAAAAGGAAAUUAAAAAGAAAAAAAAGAAAAAGGAAAAAAAUCAACAACAAACCAACUACCAAAGAAAACAAUGCAGAGCAUAUUUACAACCUACAGAAGUUGAAGCUGUCUGCAGGAUAUGAAUGAGGGGGAGACAGUGGGAAUGAAAAGAUUUAUAUGGAGAGUAUUUUAAGAGGCAACAAAAAAAACAUGGGAAAGGACUUGGGCCUGCAAGGAACACAAAGACUAAUUAUGAUAUUGCUUUCUUUCGAGCUCCUCCUUCUUGCUUUCUCAUUGCACUGUUAACUGAAAGCGAAGAGUGCAGCACAUUUAAAUAAAAAACAUGCUCUCUGCAGUGCCAACAUUAAAUCCAAUUAGGGGUGUAAACGGGCUUUGUCAGACAAACGAAAAAGUGUGUUUCCCCAACAGAGGUUAAUGAUCAUGUCUUCCUUUUCUGUGUCCCCGCUGACAUGAGCAAUGGUAGAAAAACAGAGUUAGGACAAUGUAGGUCAUAGGUUAAAGACUUCUUGCUAAUGUAAAAGAGAAUGGAACAAUAACAAUCAAUGGGGACCGGGCUGGCCUGAACAUCAGUAAUGGUAAUGCUGGUUCAGAGGAGGUAGAGGAGUAGGUGCUGCUAUAGAUACACAAACCCACACACACACACGUGCACACACAGAGGCCCUCUGGGUACAUGCGGGGAAGCUAAAUCGCUAGCAACACUUCCAGUCUCUCUUUUGCAUCACAGAAGUUAUUGAUUCUGUAUAAACACUAAUGACAGAGUAACAAUAACAGGAACGCAAAUCUAGAAAUUGCAAAUGAGGAAUAUUACCAUUUGUCUUUUUUUUUCUUUCUUUAUUUAAAUUUUUUUGUUUUUAUCCUAUUUUUGUUUUUGGAGUGAGUGUGUGCUAUAUGGGAACGUCCCAGUGCUGCUUACUAGAAAGACACAAAUAUAUGGCAGAGGAAGGAAAGCUACAAAGCCAUGUCUGGCUUGGAAUUAAAUUUUCAAAUCCAUUUAUCAGAUAAUGGAUUAGAGUCCACUGUACCGUUUGAUGAACUGGAAUGGGGUGUCAAACCCUGCUGUACCUAUAUUAUCCUUUUAUUAAGCACAUGUGUCUUUUUAUGUGUUUGUACAUCUCCGUCUGUGAUUGUUUCUCCAGCAAAGACUAAGAAGUGGAUUACUGAUAAUAGUGUAAAUGAUAAUUCCUGUUCAGAUAAAGUGCAUCUUUGUAUGAGCGCAUGCAUAAUACAUACAGUUCAGAGGAUGCAAAUAUGUCGUAGCUUAAUCUGUGUGCCAUAUGUGCCUCUACAGAGUACAGACUGGAUGUGUGUUGCAAGUGUGAGAGCAUGGCUGAAGCUGUUUGUGUCAUUUCUUGCAGUGGAAACAAAGCUGCCCUGGAGCAUUCAAAAUAUAUCACAACGCUUUCCUUGUAACAGAAUAAAAUGUCCUCGCACUUACCCAUUUGUCCCUCUAUGUUCUCCCUAUUAAACAGUAUCUCUGUCUACCCUUCUCUUCUCCCCUGCUUUUCCUGUCCCCUUGGAGAUGUGCGUUUAGCUUUUCCUCUAAGCAUAAACACUGAAAUAUAAAAGUUUUUUACUGCAGUUCUUCAGACCUUUAUUCACCCCACCCAAAGCAAGAAGAAAAAAAGGCGAAAUUUGAAAAAAAGAAAAAAAAACUUUUCCCAAUGGGGAGUUGAGCCCGAACACAAAGAGUGACAGGGACUGGGGAACUCGGGUAGUAUAAACCCAUAAACAAACGAAGCAGAAGAGAAAACAAAGCCUACUGGCAUUGCGGGGCUAGCACAGACGGUCCUGGAGUUCAGCUCAAACAUGCAUCAUUAGCAUGCACUGCUUGUGCUUCCAGCUCUCUGAUGGCAAAAUAAAUGGACAAAAGACUGAAUAAUUACUGGCAGCAGAAUUCAAACAUUCCGCUGAACAUAUCUGAUUUUAUCUGGGAGGUAGUCAUGAUCAAUUGAUCAUUUAUUAGUAGCUGAUUUAAUUGUGGAUAUACAAAGAUGGUAUUUGCAUUUUCUAAUUACACAUGAGGGCAAAGAAGCUUUGAUCUUUAUGUUCAGUCUGAAAUCAACUAUAAUCACUGUUCUGAAACCUGCAUUAAUUAGUAUGCGUAGGGUACUAGGCUUAACAGGAAACUAUUAAAGGGAAUGCCUGUCCCAGGUGUGAGUGCUCGACACAAACCUAUUUCUCUAUUUAACAGCCUACAGUGCCAGGGAAUUAUACUUUAAUCGAGACAAGGGCAUGAAUGGGUCAGCAAACAAGAUGCUUUAAAAACAGUGAAGUUGUCCAUGACAUGUGCUGCUGGUUCUAGGGCACUCCGGACAGGAAUUAUCUCCCGUACUGUUUGUCUCUGGUUCAGUGCUCCUCCCUAAAUGGGCACAGUUUCCUAAAAUAUCAGCAUGCAGACAGAAAUAGAACAUUGUUAAACAGGUUCACCCGAGUCACCAAGCAGCAGACAUGAAAUUCAGGCCAAGGAGUUAUCAGGGGUGAUAUACAGCAAGGCAGGACAAUACAUGGAUAGAAUUGAGAGAGCUCCCAUUAUAAAGACAUUGGCACAGCUGCUAUUACAAAGUAAACUCCACCAUCACUAUUAAGCAACCGUACUGAGCGAAUCAACUGCUUUUUUUUAAAUGCAAUGUCCUGUACAUGAAGGGACCGAACCCUUCUUAGUUGUGAUAUCAUGAAGCAUUUCGGGUCAGUUGUUUUUGUUUUGUGUUUUUUGUUUUUUUUUGAUAAAACAUUUAACAAAAUAAUGGCACAUUAUAAAGAACAUCCUUCACAAGUUAAACUCUUGGUAUAAAGAAAAGCACACUUCUCCCCGAGUAGACCUUGAAAUGGCUGAUAGUGUUAAAAUUCUUGAACAAGAGGAAUGGAUGUAACUAACAACACGUUAUUUAAUUACCACCUGUGAGAUGGCUUCUCCAACAUGCCUGAUGGCAGAACAGGAAAUAUGAAUCUCUGUCAAGUUUGGCGCUUGAAGUACAUCACAAUAACAGGGCUCAGAAUCUUCCCCUCUUCGCGUUAUUGAGUAAAAUGACUGGAUUUGAGAAAUAAUGUCAGUAACAUAUUUUGUUUUUAAUGGUAGAGUGGUAGAAUAGUGAUGGGAGCAGAUAGAAAAAUACUUAUCAUUGAAACAACGAGAGCAUUACAGUAGGAACCUCCUCACCAAGUCAUCUUAGUAAUAUAUUCCCACUGGAAAGUGAAUAAGGCUCCUCUUCUGUUCACAAGCAGUUUGUGUUUCAGAAGAAAUGAAGUUCAUACCUUUUUUUUAAAUCUUUAAAGACUCAUUAUUUACAUCAUAAAUAAGUUCUAUUUGAUUUUGUCCUUUUAUUCAUCUUAUAGAAUUUCUUGACAUCAUCUUUGAACACCUCAAAAAUUUUCAAGCAAAAAAAUAUAAUACCAAAACGAAAUAAAACAAAAACAAUGCAUAUUUGUUUGAAUAUGCAUCAUCUUUCUUGGGAAAUGUUGGCCCCUUGCAGUUUCAUGUGUGGAUCAAUCAGUCUCUCUGUAGGAAGAGCAAGCGUAAGUUCCACAGCUCCCUAGAGUAUGACCACUGACAUGUAGGAAACUGGUGCACUGCUUGAGUUAAACUGAGGACAUUGUUUGACAGGCCAUGCAAGCCGUAUCCGAAAUCCUCAACAGCUCCAUAAGUCAACGAGCAGCAGUGCUCAACAUGGUGGCCAACGGUUUACUGAUUAGGAAAAAGAAAAAACAAAGAAAAAAAGAGAAAACAUUCCUUAAUUUCGGCUCACUUUCUGGAAAAAAUUGAGAUGUCAGGCAAAACCUCCUGUAUAGUCUGUGGGAUCAUAUGCAGGUCAAAGAGAAGUCAACGUGCUGGUUCAGCAUGCCACCACUAGGCACCAUUAUUCUCUGUGGUGGAAGAGCACAUGGCCUAAGCCUGGCCAACCCAGCAAGAUGGUGCUCUUCAAGUAGUCCAGUUAAUGAAAGUCAAACAUUGACUCAACAAUGUUUCAAAUGACUGUUUGGGGCAGUGAGAGUGGUUUGACCUUCAGUGAAGUAGACCUUUUCAAUAAUAUGUACAAUACAUUUCAUUCAAAUGUUCUUAUUUUAGUUUUUCCAUGAUUGCCUUUUUUUUUUAAAGCAUAGUGGGUUAUUCAGCUGGGAUAUAGUCAUAUACGGUACAAUGACUUGUUGUUCAUCUGUGUAAAGGGUCUUUAUAUAUUUAAUACAUUUAUGGAACAUACAGUUUAUGCUGCUUUGAAUUAUGUUUUUCAUAGUAACACUAAGAUCACAAGAACUGACUUGAGCUUACGUUGGGAGUGCCAGGUGUGAUACCUCAUUAUGAUAAAUACGUUCAUAACCUUUCAACAUGAUGACCCCGUUGAUUAUUCUAUUUCUUUAAGACAAUUCUAGUCCAUUCGAAAUCAUCAGGGGAUCUAGUGGUAAUUAUAAAUGUGAACUGGCAGAGGCUAGUUCAGUGGAACAUCUGACAUUUAAAAAGCUCCUUAGUUAAAGUACCUUAUGUGCAAAAAGAAAGAAAAAAUAUUAGUAAACUCUUUGGUUUAACAUGCACAUUAAUGUAAUUCAGUACAAAAUAUGACACUCAAAGAAACAAAAUAUUUAUGUAAUUAAUGAAAUUAUAUAUGUUAACUUUUUUAAUAGCUAGUGAGUAGAAAUUGUAAUGUUAAUCACAGUAAGAAGCCUUCUGCUCUUCAUAUGCUCUAUCUCUUCGAUCUUUGAUGUUACUGCCCUCACUUGUCGUGAAUGAAAACUUGUGUUUAUUGCACUUUCCCUUUCACUCCUGACUCAGAGUAAGCUGGCUGCUGCUGCUGUGAACAGAUGCCCCAUGAUGCUGAUAUGGGAUAUGACAAAGAUCAGAUUUGGAAAUAAGGUAAUUCUUUGUGGCAUAUGCUGAAUUAACCUCCCUUGAGU
ensembl:lncRNA